AUUGAACGCUGGCGGCAUGCCUUACACAUGCAAGUCGAACGGCAGCGGACCUUCGGGUGCCGGCGAGUGGCGAACGGGUGAGUAAUAUAUCGGAACGUACCUUUCAGUGGGGGAUAACGUAGCGAAAGUUACGCUAAUACCGCAUAUUCUGUGAGCAGGAAAGCAGGGGAUCGCAAGACCUUGCGCUGAUUGAGCGGCCGAUAUCAGAUUAGCUAGUUGGUGAGGUAAAGGCUCACCAAGGCGACGAUCUGUAGCGGGUCUGAGAGGAUGAUCCGCCACACUGGAACUGAGACACGGUCCAGACUCCUACGGGGA
rnacentral:rRNA from 1 species